UUCAAAUGUAAAGUUAAUUGAUAAUGGCAGAAAAAUAAAAUAAAUUAUUUAAAGCUUUGUCAAACCCCAUCGGCAAUAGCCAAAAUUUUUACUUUCGGGUACUGAGUCGGACUGCAGCUCUUUUUUUUUUCCUAGGUUUUUUGAAACGAAGAAAUAAAAAUAUAUAAUUUCAAGCUUUUAACUAUUGGCAGGAAUAAAAGUAGCCCAGCUUUAAGUACGGUGAACUCUCAUUAAAAAAGAAGCUGGAAGGGUGAAAAGCGUCACCUCUUUUAGUAGCAAUGGGUGCCCUAUUGUUAUUCUCUGUAAUUUCUUCUAGCCGUUUCAAUUCAUAUAAAGCUCCAUCUCAUCCACUUGUGGUGGUUUCAUAUUUCUCCUUCACUGCUGAGGUUUAUAUGAAGCUUUAUUAAUUGACAAAUCCUUGGAAAAUUCUCUGUACUCUCCUCUAAGUAGUUAUCAAUGUCUGAAGGACCUUGCUCUAGAAACAGAUAGAAGUUGAAAAUAUCUAUUAAUAACUUAGACCAUAUAGAUUAGAUUUAUGUUUGCCAUGUGCAACUCAACCUUUCAAUUGAACCCCCAACAACCACCCCCCACCCCCUUUUUUUUUUUCUUGGGCUAAUAUUCCUUUGUUAUUGUCUUGUACUUUUUGGCUUUGUUUAGCAUAAUGUUAUAUUCAGCUACAUGAUGACCCUGCAGAAGUUGUUUGAAUUCACAAGGAAUGCAUUUGAUUCAACUUUUCAGUUAUGCUCUAAAUAAAUUGUAUUAAUGCAAUCUUGCAUUGGUUUCAUAUAAAUGGUAGCAUUCCUAUCAUCAUCUCAGAAUCUUACUUUUGCUUAGUGCUUUUCUCGUAAAGUUUUGAUUCAACUUUUUAGUUAUGCUCUAGAUAUAUUUUAUUAAUGCACUCUUGCAAUGUUUUCAUAUGAAUGGUAGCAAACCAUUCAUCAUCUCAGAAUGUUCUUUGUGCACAGUUUUUUCUCACUGAUGUCUAGUUACCUAUAUUUUUUUUUAUUUGCUUGCUAUGAUAUUUUUAUGAAAUAUUUUAUUGUAGAGUUCAUUGAUUUUUGGCUAAAAGAUUUAUCAAGGAUGCCCUGAUUUCUCAAAAUUUUCAUUAAAUUCACCAAGUUUGACAUUGAAUGUGAUUUGAUGACGAAGUGGACGAUCUUGAAUGUUCUUAAUUCUGCAGCUGUUACAUAUAUAGACUCCAGUGCUGUUCAAGCUUUGAAAGACUUGCAUCAGGAGUAUAAAUCACGGGAUAUC
rnacentral:misc_RNA from 1 species